UACAGAGGUCUCGAGCGUUAGGCGGAAUCACUGGGCUUAAAGCGCGUGUAGGCGGAUCGUUAAGUGCCUUGUGAAAUCCCACGGCUUAACCGUGGAACUGCUGGGCAUACUGGCGAUCUUGAGCCACCUAGGGGCCUGCGGAACAAGCGGUGGAGCGGUGAAAUGCGUAGAUAAUCGCUUGGAACGCCAAUGGUGAAAACAGCAGGCUGGGGGGUGUGGCUGACGCUGGAGACGGCGAAAAGCCCAGGGGGAGCGAAACGGGG
rnacentral:rRNA from 1 species